ACCAAACGCGCUGAUUCGCCAGCACCUGAUGCCACAAGACACUGCUUUUAUUACUGGGGGGGGGCUCGUGCAACGAGGGGUGGAGCAAAUCAGACGUGAUGAACAACUUAUUUAGGACGCCGGGAAGAAAACAAUCAGUGGCAAGUGACUGACACAAACGUGGCAUUUGACAGGAAACAAGGCGUUAAGAAGCGGGACGUGAGUGGAAAGCAAAAGACUGUGUUUAUAUAUUCCGGUGCAGGGGGGGCGAUGAGGCGCUCAUCAAAGCUUUGCUGUGUAAUCCGUGUAGCAGCUCCUCGGAGGCAGCGGAACCUCAGUCUGCGGCUCCUUGCUUAGGCCUUGAAUUAGAGUAAAGUGUAGGGAGAAGCCUGGGCCAUGUCCCCUUUGGGAGGAAGUGAAGUCACACCACUUCCUGUGAGGAUGUUCUGUGGCCACCAGGGCCGAUGCCUUUCCGUAGACAAACCUAGCCGAUGAAAUGGAAGAGGACAUUGGAUGGAGUGUAACUGACACCUGUUCCCUGCACCGUGACCGUCAACUUGUUGCAGUUCAGAAGACCAUCUGAAGAGGGCGCACAGCAAAACCAGUGAUACAGAACCAGUGAAAACCAGUUACACAUAUGGUGCCAUUGGACCAUUUGGGUUACAUGAAUGGAGGGUCAACCCACACUGGUGCCAGAUAACUGCAAAUGAAGUUUGUGCCAGAUGUGUGACGACAUUAUGAAGCUCUGGGGUCCACUUGCCUCAUUCCUAGCAAAUAAUGUUACAGCUUGUAACACACAGUAAAUAUUCUUUGGCCCUUAAA